GGGUUGUGAGGUUAAGCGACUAAGCGUACACGGUGGAUGCCCUGGCAGUCAGAGGCGAUGAAGGACGUGCUAAUCUGCGAUAAGCGUCGGUAAGGUGAUAUGAACCGUUAUAACCGGCGAUUUCCGAAUGGGGAAACCCAGUGUGAUUCGUCACACUAUCAUUAACUGAAUCCAUAGGUUAAUGAGGCGAACCGGGGGAACUGAAACAUCUAAGUACCCCGAGGAA
rnacentral:rRNA from 1 species